rnacentral:rRNA from 1 species
CGCCUCUUGAGUAAGGAUAAGAGGUCCAGCCUGCCCAGUGACAAAAGUUCAACGGCCGCGGUAUCCUAACCGUGCGAAGGUAGCGUAAUCAUUUGUUCUCUAAAUAAGGACCAGUAUCAAUGGCAUCACGAGGGCUGUACUGUCUCCUUUCUCCAAUCAGUGAAACUGAUCUCCUCGUGAAGAAGCGAGGAUAAGAAUACAAGACGAGAAGACCCCAUGGAGCUUUAAACCCAAUAACAGCUUAGUAUAAUUACCCAUGAAAACCUAAAGAAGUGUAUAUUGGUUUUAGGUUGGGGCGACCGCGGGGUAAAAGUUAACCCCCACGACGGAGAGAGCUUAAUCUUUAUUCAAGAAUUACAAUCCUAAAAAUUAGUAUACUAACGGAUAAUGACCCAAUUAAUGAUCAACGAACCAAGUUACCCUGGGGAUAACAGCGCAAUCUACUUUGAGAGCCCCUAUCGACAAGUAGGUUUACGACCUCGAUGUUGGAUCAGGGUACCCAUGUGGUGCAGCCACCACUAAAGGUUC